AUUGAACGCUGGCGGCAGGCCUAACACAUGCAAGUCGAACGGUAGCACAGAGAGCUUGCUCUCGGGUGACGAGUGGCGGACGGGUGAGUAAUGUCUGGGAAACUGCCCGAUGGAGGGGGAUAACUACUGGAAACGGUAGCUAAUACCGCAUAACGUCGCAAGACCAAAGUGGGGGACCUUCGGGCCUCACACCAUCGGAUGUGCCCAGAUGGGAUGAGCUAGUAGGUGGGGUAAUGGCUCACCUAGGCGACGAUCCCUAGCUGGUCUGAGAGGAUGACCAGCCACACUGGAACUGAGACACGGUCCAGACUCCUACGGGAGGCAGCAGUGGGGAAUAUUGCACAAUGGGCGCAAGCCUGAUGCAGCCAUGCCGCGUGCAUGAAGAAGGCCUUCGGGUUGUAAAGUACUUUCAGCGGGGAGGAAGGCGGUGAAGUUAAUAACUUCACCGAUUGACGUUACCCGCAGAAGAAGCACCGGCUAACUCCGUGCCAGCAGCCGCCGUAA
rnacentral:rRNA from 1 species